AUGAGAAUACAGUUUCCUCCGAAAAAAUCUUAGGCUGAUCUUGGAAGAAAGACCCCCUGGAUCAUCUAAAAAUAAAGUUUUCUAUUUAAAGAUAUUAUUGUUGCCACUUUAUAGAUGAAAAAACGGAAGCAAAACCAUUAAGUGCCUUCCCCAAGGUCUUAAAAGAAGUCACCAAGAAGGUGGUGUGGCUCAAGUCUCCUGACUCCAGUUUACUAUUUCCCACAAUAAUGUUGGAAAACCACAUUGGAACGGGAAGACUCAUUCCAAGUACUGCUGUCACACCAGCAAGCUUCAAAGAACAUCCCUGUAGCUAAAUGGUGUUCAAAGUAAACAUGGAGAACAGAAAGCAUCCAUCUCUACCUAGUGGGGCAAAAAAUGACUGAAUUCCCAUACCAUAUAAAUACCCCAUGAAAAGACAGAGGAAUCCUUGAUCCACCCAACAUUCACUGAGUAUCUGCCUUGUGGCAAGCACUGCGGAUGUGCUUGGAUACAAAGAUAAAUAAAACGUGGGCUCCACUCCCAGCAGUUCAACAUCUAGCCGUCUUUGUCCCAUGCUCUUAAAUCUUGCUAAGGCUUGGGUUUUGUUUGUAAUAGAAAUUCUAAAGCAGGGACAGAAGAAGUUAUCUUUUCUAAAUUGCCCACCUCUGUUGUCUAAUUAUUCCACUGAGGAAAACACUUGGUCCUGGAUUACUUCGCUGAGCUCAGAUAUGUUUUGCUGACACACAGAGUCUGGGCAGCAUCCAGCCCCCCGUUUACUCCCUGGUCUUUAAGUCUAGGUCAUUUCAGGACCAGGACAGUUUGGCACUGGGACGUGUUUCCCAGAAGUACUAAUAGUUCGAGAGAGGAGCAAGUGUCUUCACAUCUGCAGGUCUGGGUGCCGAACUUUCUACUGUCGGUGAGAAUCAUGUCCCAGUGAAAAUGUAGAAGUGAACCAACCCUCAAAGGGAUAAGGUGACAGGGAGUGGUGUUUACUUGAGUCAGAGAGUAACUGAAAAUGACUUCUGCAGCUGGAAUAAAACAAAGGGUUGAAGGUCAACUUCCUCUUUGAUUUUGGCUAGUCAGCAGUUCAAGCAGCCUUUUCAAAUGUUUCGUGUCUGCUGACUUGUCCAACUCUAUAAAAGACCCCACAUCUUGCACCAACCUGUACCUCUUGGGCACUGGAGCGAAACAAAAGGAAAAAUGUUCCGUCUUAUUAGAAUUAAUGAAGUCAUGCCACUCACAUCCGUCCACGUUACUCCACUUUGGUCACCACCAUUGUGGUCCAUGCUGACAUCAUUUCUCUCGUAGAUUACUGCAGUGGCCUUCUCACUGGUCUCUCACAUCCUGUUUACCCCAUCCAAAGCAUUCUUCACAUUAAAUCACUGUAAUUCAUUAAUUCACAGUAUUAAUUCACAGUAAUCUUUUGGAAACUCAAAUAAUACAACUAAAAUCUGAAUACCCUACACAUAUAAAGAAAUCCUAACUUAAAAAUUUCCCCUGGCUCCCCAUUGCUCCAAAGACUUAACUAGUUCAUUUGGCCCAGAGAACUCUGCUUAAUCGGUGCCUCCCACGCUUUCCCUCUUCUUGCUGCAUCACGUUCCUCCCUCCUCACUCUCCCUGCUCUCAUCACCCAGAUUCCUCUGCCUGGAACACUUCUCCCUCCCUGCUUUGCCAAGUUGUCUCCUACUCACCUUUUACCUCUUAAGCCUUAUCAGCUCCUGAGGGGUGGGUGAGGAAGACCCUCUUCUCCUUGGUUAGGCCAAAUCCCCAUGUUUUA